CGCGCCACCUCGGGGUGCCCGUCCAGGGCUGAGAUGCGUGAUCCGCGAACCCGUCGAACCUGAACCGGCUAGUACCGGCGGAGGGAAGGUGGCCAAUCGGGGC
rnacentral:ncRNA from 2 species